AUGGCCAACGCGUGCCAAAGUGUAGCAUCUGUUCUUAUCAGCUUAAUAUAGGGUAGGAGUUGUAUUUGUACCCAAUAUAUUAAACUUAUUUUUUUUCACGUUGGCGGAGUGCGUGAGGCCUGCUUCAUCUCCGCCACGGCUCGGCCCGGUAUUGCACAAUCUUCGGGAUCGGCCCGUGUUUU